UGGCCCGAAAUCUUAAGAGUUGCCCAUUUUCUCAGCUUUCUUCUUCUUUAAACAACCAAAGCACCGAAGAUCCAGAUAAGCUAAGCAAUCCCUCUUAGAGAACUUGUUGCUACUUCUUUAUUCUCUAAAUAUGACGUAAGCAUCGAAGGAUCUUCAUUGGAGCAAAAAUCUUCGGUUUGGACUUGUUUUAUCGAUCACUCCAACAUCAGCAUCCCUGUGUGAGGCUCGAUCAUCCUCUGCCUGAUCUCGACCAAAUCGAACAGC
rnacentral:lncRNA from 1 species